rnacentral:lncRNA from 1 species
GGAAAUACAGGGGGAAGAGCUGUGUGUGGGCGAGUGCCGUUUUGGAUGUGUGACUUGAGGUAGAGACGCCCAAACAGUGGAAAAUGAGAAUCUGUAACUCAGCACAGAGGCCAGAGUUUGGUAGUUACUAGCAUAUCUUCCAAACCUAUGGAGGGCUUAUCGAGACAAAUUGAAGUUUUGGACCCAUUGUGUACUAGCAA